GGAAACUGCAGCUGGAGAGUGAUGAGUUGUGUUCACUUUACAAUAGAAAUCCGGCUAAGCUAGCGGAGGUUUGAUGCCUCGAGCUUUGUGCUGAGAUCCUAUUUGUACUGUUGUUGCAGAGUGGUGCUGUUCUGCGCAUUAUUUGUGGCUUUCUGAUGGUGGUUUCUUGCUGCACCACACUACAAUGUAUUAUUAAUGUGCAGUCUUUUCUGAGGUUGCUAAAACUACGUAACUACAUAGUGCACCUUUAAAUUUCAAGACAAGCUUAACUGAAACCCUAUUUAAGAAAACAGUAAGUAUAAUUAAUACGGAAUUAAUAUAGUGGCGAAAUGUAACUUUACUUGAGUAUUGAACUUAAAUACAGGGUGCAAGUCUUGGUACUUUACCAGAUUAUUUCCACUCCACUACAUCAGAAAGGGAAAUAUUGUAGUUUUACUGAACUACAUUUGUUGCCAGUCAUUAAUAAUUCAGCAGAUUGAGAUAUAGAGAACACCAGAGUUUACAGUUCUUUACACUACCGAAAAUUGCCACUUCUGGCCUAAAAUGUUUUCAGAAACAUAUUUUACUGAACUUGUACUGUUCAGCAGUAAUAUGAGAAAGUUUGAUACGAGGCUGCCGUGCGCUGAGGACAGAGAGGGACUUGCGUGCGCUGCCAUGCACGCUCAGCUGACACGGCUACAGAGGAACAGAGAAGCUCAGAUCUCAACACGCUCGUAAGAAGUGUGAGGUUAUAAUCUGCUCAGUACACUGUCACAGGCACGCCACUAUACCUCUAUAUAGCAAAUAGCUGCUGCUGCUGUAUUAAUGUUGAAAUCUCAGAUAUUAAAACCUUAAAAAAAUGAGCUCCACUUGAGCAUAUACAUCUAUGCAAGGCUAACUACACAUGAUCAGUAAUAACUACUCCAAUAAUAUAAUCUGUAAUAUAACACUCCCAGGCAUAAUUGGAGCUUUUACUUUUAAUGCCAAGUUUUAGGGUUUCUUUUUUUGCUCUUUAUUCUCUGGGUCUUUUUUUAAAGACUCUCAAUGUUUAAACACUUGGAAUGAAUUUAUAAAAACCUAGCUGUCCUUCUGGCUUUUACUGCUGUCUCUGUUUUCAUACACUAGAUGGCGACUUUGGGCAAAAGUCCCUCAUAUUCAGGGGGGAUUCCUUGUCAGUGCAAGCGAGCAUAUAUUCAAUUGUAAACAUAUCAUUGAUUUAUCAGCACGAACACAUAUUUUUACACUGCUCUCGAUUAGAAACACAGUGCUGUUAUUUAUAAUGCAUUCAACAUCAGUAGGUGUUCACACAGCUACUCACUGUGGAGUGGUUGUCUGCUGGGAGAGUGGUUAAGGCAAAAUGACUUGAAAAUGAAGUGUACUGUGUGUGUCUCAGUGUGCAUGCAUACAGCACUGCUUUAACAUUAACAACCACCCACUCGGUUUAAAUCAAUGCAUUACUAAAGACGUGUGGUUGUUAGUCAAUCCUGUGUAGAAGUGCUGCCACUGACCAUUUAGCCAGAGUGGGCAGAAAUUCAAGCCUGUGAGCUGGAUUUAUUUAUUUAUUUAUUUUUUUUGAGGAAUCAAAAAUGUAACAUUUCAUCUGUUGAACUUGGAGCCCUUUUUUUUUUUUUUUUUUUUUCCUUAGGACACCCUGAAAGAAUAAAGCCACGUCGACAGGAUCGCUCAUCUUUUUGUCUGCCGAAAGAAUUCCUCCUGUCAAUGAGAAUCACCCAUGACAUACUUCAAACUGCAAGCAGCUCACUCUCAAUAAUGCAGCACAUGUCUUGGAGGCAAUUCGCAGACCGGCUGAAAUAUUGAUGCCUCAAAAUCUGUAUUUCCAUUUCAACAUCACACGUAGUGGCGGAUGAUAAUGUCAUCAUCUCUGCCCAUCGGAUUGUUGCGUGUGUGUACAUAAAGGUUCGCGUAAGGAGCGCGCGCACGUGACCGCGGAGGUCGUGUAUAAUGCAUGCGUUUGGUGCAUCACCAGGGAAAUCUCCUGUGACCGAUUUCUCUUCUAAUGGGUGAUGACAGCCGUUUUGUACGCCUGUGUGUCAACUGCCGCCUCGCAAAGACAGCAACACAAUUCCGAGUGAGGGAGUAGUCGGCACCUACACGUGCUCCACACUCCUUAAGCCGUGUUGAAGUCUCACAAUCAGUUAAUUGACGCUGUCUCCCCGCCCCGGAUUAUCUUGCACUGUUUACACACUGUUUGUUGGUGGGAAUUGUUAAUGCAGAAGGGCAAAUGUGAGAAGCGGCUGUGGUGGAGCCAGAAGGAUUCAGACAUGGAUGGGCCUGAACUUAUACAUCAAAGCCACUCAUGAGAGACUGUUCACUCCGGUGCCAUGACAACCACAUGGACAGGCACCAUCACUAAUAAUUAAAAGCAGUCAUAGAUGUGGCCGAUGACAGUCAGGGGCAUAGAGUAAUAAUUACUUCCCCUCCGGGUCGCAUGUGUGAAUUGCCCACAUCUUUCAUGGCAGAACAAACACAGGGAAAAAGGUAAAAAAGGGAAGGAGAGAGACAAAGAGAGAGAGCAGAUAUUUAAAGUUCAAAAAAGAUUUUACACCAAAAAUAAGUCAGAAAGCCAUCAUGUAUAGCUUUUGAUCUUUAGAGGACUGCUGUGAGUGUUUCUGUCUCCGGCAGAGAUGUGAGCAGACUUCAGCUGAGUGCCACAGUGCGCAGCAUGGGUGGAACUCAGGGAGGGUGCAGGUGGGGGCGAUCGGCCUGAGAGAGCGCCCUCUUCGCCGCCCUCCCAGUGGAGAAAACACGAUAAAGUGCCCUCAAGGGUGGCCUCCCCUGUCGAGAAAAUGUGAAAAAAAGUGCCCUUUACGGUGCCCUUCUAGUGCAGACAAGGUGAUAAAGUACCCUCAAUUGUGCUCGUCUAGUGGAGAAAAUGCAGUGAAGGACCUCUCUUCACUAUAAAUCUACCAGGACUUUCUGUGCACUGGUGUCCUUUUAUUUAUUUAUUUAUUUUUUGCCCCUGCCCCUCAAACAUCCUGAGUCCGCCACUGCCAAGUUCCCACCAAAGGUUGCAGGGCCUACCGCUCACACCCACAGGAACACACCACCACCACCACAGGGAGCCGCUACAUCCACUUUGAGUCGGUGUAAAAUUCACAUGUCGAAAUUUCAAACCAGCUGUGCCUCAUACAUACUGAAACCAGUAUCUUUAACCAUAUUCAUAAUCAUGCAAGAUAAAUCAGUGAAUGAGCAGCCCCUUGUAUAUUAUACGCUGUCAAAUAUUCAACAGGCUCAUCCAAAGGUCCUGUUUGAAGUAGCUGCUCGUCCCGCGGGAACAUGGUUUUUACAUUUCCUUCCCCCUUGUUUUUUCUGCUCUUGCACUUUCAGCUGCCAUAUAUUUUUGUUGUAUCUUUUCCCCUGCUGUAUUCUCUUUGCCUCCGUGAUUCACCCUUCCCCCCGUUCCGGGAUCAUUAUAUAGUAGAAUUAUAUCUUUCUGCCUCUCUCCUCAUCUCCAGCACUAAAGGCACAUUAGUGAACUCGCUCUGCCUGCUCCUGCUCAUUCAUAAUUACUUGGCGUCCCACAGGAGAACAAGAUGCACAUCGCUGAUUAGCUCGCUGUUGUUACCACCUUUACUUAUGCAGAAGAGGCCUCAUCUGAUUGAGUGUGCAUAGUCUUAUUAACAAUUAAAAAACAAUUUGCUUGGAAUAAUAUUACAAAAGAUCUAUUUGCCCUGCAGCAUGGUAGGCUACAGUAGAUGAGGGAUUCCUGAUUUACAGAGGCGUGGGUCACAAGGAACCUAUUUGCCCUUGCUGCUCCUCCGCCCCCAGUUUGCUAUACAACUGUGUAAAAGCGCCUGAAGAAAUAAUGGUUUCACUGUGGUGGUUGCAUUAUGAACCUUUUCUUUUCUUACAGAUGAUAAUUACACAUUUCCCUGUAUAGAUCUCUUUUUAUAGCCACAACUCUACAUAGUUGGUCCGUGAUGGAAUCAAGGAAAUGAAAGUCAGUACAAUAGAUCAGAGAGAGGUUUUCCACACGCUGACACCGUGUAAGGUUAUCUGGUGGGUCCAUCACUUUGGUCCAGACUAAAGUAUCUCAACAACUAUUGGAUUGCAAUUAAUGUGCUGUGCAGACAAGAUGUUGGCCAGACUGUUAGUGUUAUUCUAAUGACGUAGAUCCUUUGACUUCUCCUCUUGCGCAGUUUUGUGGUUUUAAGUGAAAUGUGUCAACAGCUAUCAGAAGGACUGCUUUUGGAUUUGCCGCAGACAUCCAUGUAUGUCCCUCUAAUCCUGGACCGUGACAACUUUGGUCACCACUUAUCCGGCACAUAAUUUCUAAAAGUUUAAAGUUUGUUUCCUUUAAAGGCAGGAAUCGAAAUCGAAAUCAAAGCCGCUGCUGGGAAUAUGCCUCAAGGCCAGUGGUAUGAACACACCAGCACCGGGAACACAGGGAGAGGAAAAAAGAUCCCGAGAGAGAAUGAGAAAGUGAGGGAGACGUUCGAACUAUUAACAUGGCCUAUUUACGGGCUCAGCGACUGGGAAAGUUUCGGAGUGAGAUCAUCACACAUCCACAGAAGUCACAAACUGAACUCCCACUCCAGCAGCGAGUGGCGUCGUCCUGCCUGCCCCGCACGCCUCACCAACUGACAGCUCGCACAUGGCGAGGAAGGAGAGGAGAGCGACCCCGGCGCUGCUGGCAGAGGAGCUGCUGACUGCUCUCUCUCUGCUUACUCUGAGCAGCAU